CACGUAGGGCGCAAGCGUUGUCCGGAGUUAUUGGGCGUAAAGAGCUCGUAGGCGGUCUGUUGCGUCCGCUGUGAAAACUCGGGGCUUAACCCCGAGCCUGCAGUGGAUACGGGCAGACUAGAGGUAGGUAGGGGAGAAUGGAAUUCCCGGUGUAGCGGUGAAAUGCGCAGAUAUCAGGAGGAACACCGAUUGCGAAGGCAGCUCGCUGGAACGUUACUGACGCUGAGACGCGAAAGCGUGGGGAGCAAACAGG
rnacentral:rRNA from 1 species